AGUUAUAUAGUACAGUAGUUAGCGUAUAUACUCUUUAUAUACCUAACCUCUAGACCUAUCUAGAGGUUAGGCUAUAACUAGCGUAGGGUCGUAGGUUCGAUUCCUAUUGUAGCUA